rnacentral:rRNA from 1 species
UACGAAGGGAGCGAGCGUUAUUCGGAAUUACUGGGCGUAAAGGGCGUGUAGGCGGUUUACUAAGUCAGUUGUUAAAUACCUUGGCUUAACCAGGGACCAGCGAUUGAUACUGGUAGACUAGAGGAUAAGAGAGAGAAGUGGAAUUCUCGGAGUAGCGGUAAAAUGCGUAGAUCUCGAGAGGAACACCGAUGGCGAAGGCAGCUUCUUGGCUUAUUCCUGACGCUGAGGCGCGAAAGCGUGGGGAGCAAACAGGAUUAGAUACCCGCGUA